UACGGAGGGGGCAAGCGUUGUUCGGAAUUACCGGGCGUAAAGGGCGCGCAGGCGGCUGCUCAAGUCAGGCGUGAAAGGCCUGGGCUCAACCCGGGAAUUGCGCUUGAGACUGGGCUGGCUUGAGUGCGGGAGAGGAUGGUGGAAUUCCCAGUGUAGAGGUGAAAUUCGUAGAUAUUGGGAAGAACACCGGUGGCGAAGGCGGCCAUCUGGACCGCAACUGACGCUGAGGCGCGAAAGCGUGGGGAGCAAACAGG
rnacentral:rRNA from 1 species